rnacentral:lncRNA from 1 species
UAGCAGUAACUCAAAUCGUUACGUCUAAUGAUCAUAGAAUGGGUUUAGAGUAUACCAAUUAUAGUUAAGUACUCUACUGUUUUCGCGUGUUUCUACACCAGAACAUCAUUCAGAUCACUUGAUCGGAAAACUGAUGGAUUGAUUGUUGGUUGUUUACACCGCUCUUGGCCGAGAUAAAGAGUACAAUGUAUGGUUGAGAUAGAUCACAAAACAUACUAAAAUGUCAACAAGUUACCGGUCACAGCUAAAAUAU